rnacentral:lncRNA from 1 species
AGAAUAGACAAAAAAAAAAUACAUGUCAGCCGUAUAGUAACAUAUAAGCGACACUUCCAUCUACCCAUGCUAAAAAAUUACAUAAUACUGUCAGGAAAAAAGUCUUAAAAACUACAUACUUUAAUAAGAAAAAAAAAUUCAAUAGAGUGGUAAUACUGAGAACCAGGGCAUUCAGAGAUUCCAAAAGUCAUACUUUUUUCAGUUGACUCAAAACACUGUCAACUAAGUUUUCAAAAGUUUGCUCAGAGCCAGCAUUACUCAUGAAUGUCACAUGUCUAUUAUUGAUCAGUGUUUUUGAGGGUUGAAAUUCUGUAUGGGACCCACUGAAGUUCCCAGGAAGUAAAAUAUUUAAGGUUCUGUAGCACAUGCAUUCAAGUCUCUAUCUUGCCCUCUUAUAGGGGGCAUUUCCUUUGCGCUCUCUCUCUCUCUCUCUCUCUCUCUCUCUCUCUCUCUCUCUCUGAUGUGUGUGAUAUAUAGGUAUAGCUACAUUUAAGGCAAAUAUUUCUUGGCCUUUGGGAUGAGAUGUUAAGCUUAAAUGUCUACAUUAUAAAAUAAAAGGAAUCUGACACACAAAAGGUUCAAGUAAAAUUUGGAUGUUUUAAUAAUAGUUUGCUAUAUAAUAUAGAAAAACCAGCAGCCAGUUUGCACUGUCACUAACCAUUAUGCUUCCAAGUCCACAGGACUGCGCUGCAGUUUGUUUAGAAUAACAGGAACCUCAUCCACAUAGGAGAGGAAAAUAGAAGUUGAAACAUUCCAGCCAGAUGUUGACUGCUAAUGUGGCAGCAGCUGGCCUCUAAGAAGACGGUAACUCCAGAACAAUCUUGGAAAAAAAAUCCCUUAAUUAAGUGUUGAACAUGGACUAAAGCCAUGUACUCACUGUACAAAAUAACCAGGAAGCUUCAAUGUCAGCCAUGGGUGGCCUGGAUUUAAAUAGGUUUGACGUUUUAAGUUAAUGUAAAUACAAAACCAUCCACAUUGUUUUAUCAAUAAAAUGAGCCCUUUUCAGUUUUAGGGCAGGGUAUUUGAGUCUUUGGUUUUGGUCUUUGCUGAGAGGAACAGUGGGGCCUGAAUCAUUUAUUUACUGAUUUGGAUUCCCUUGGGUGAUGUGACUAAGCUGUGUAUCCCAGAGGUUGUUUAGGUCACCCCCACCUCCCUUUUUCCCUCCUCAGACUAAGACUCAUGUUUACCUUUAGCAUAAACGAAAGCAAACCAGAACAAUUGGGAAGGAUGGACUGGAGGAAUGUGGGUCACUUUUGCCAUGUAGUUUGAGAUAAUUACCAUAGAAAAUUUGUAUACUCUAAGCUUUGGCUGUGAUGAUUUGGUUGUAAUGACAAGAUCCUUGUCAUUAAUAGACUACUGUGUUUUAAGGCCUCCAUGCUUUGAUUUGUAUGCAACAAUCUGUUAAAUAUUAUCCAGUAUUUAAAGGGUUAAUUGGAAUUGUGCAGGCCAUAGAUAUUAAAUAUUCACAUGUACUUACUACUUUUACUCUAUGGACUGGAAAUAUCCAAAUGACGAAAAAUUAGUAUAGAUACCUUGAAGUUGAAAAUUCUAGUUUCUUUGGAAAGUUAGUUAUGUCAAAUGAUUGUUUGCUGGGGCACACAGGUGAAAAGCAGACAUGUGAAAGAAUGUUGUCCUAAAGCAGAUACAGGUGAAGGAUGUUUUGCUGGGGCAGACAGAGGUGAAAGGAUAUUUUGAUAUAGCAAACACAUGAAAGGACGAUUGAUGGAGUAUAAAUGACCCUUUCAGAGAGUGGGAGACAAGCACUGAGCAUUGGUUUGGUUUCCUCCACCUCACUAUUUACUAUCGACAUGCAUGUAUUGGUUCUCCUUAUACAUUGAGAGAAACUCGACAAACAACUGCUUAUAAGAUUCCUGUGGCAGCUUGCAGCUUCUGAGGCCUCACCUCAGGCUGGUUGAUGAGCCUUGUGGUGUUCUUGCCUGGUGUCGGCUUGCUGAAAGGACUGGACUGUAGCUGUUGGUUCUUAUUUGGUGUCUGCCUGCUUAGAGGACUGGUCUACACUGCUGAGUCAUACUUGGUGUUUGCUAGGGGACUGAACUGCUGAGAAAGAAGAUCUAGUUUGCCCUCAAAGAACUAUUGCUGAGAAGGUCUACUUCCCCCAUAUCCUAAUAACUUUUCUCUUCCACUCCCUCUGCUGGGUGGUAGGCUAGAGGAGAGGUUAAACCCUUAUUAAAAGUAGGUUGC